GCUUUGGAGUUUCAUGAUUCCUAGUUUACUAAUUGAAAAUUACAAGUUCUGAAGUUCAAUAUUUCUGGAAAUGCCAGGGUUCAUAAAGUUUUUUUAAUGUUUUAAAUGUUGGCUGCUUUUCAGUGUCUUCAACUGCAAUAAACUUUAAAAUGGAGACAUUGAAAAGGUUCUGGAUAAAUGGUUCUUAGGCCUAUAUUUCUGUAAGAUGUUUGAAUUUAAGAUAGUGGUGUCCAUUUCUUCUUUAAAAAUAGUAUUUUGCUCAUUUGUGUAACCAUUACAGUGAGUAUGAAAUAGCUAAAAAAAUAGAAGAUAAAUUGACAAAACCUUUCUAAAAGGUGUUGAAUCUUCUACAAAAGAACACAUACACCAUUGCUUCUUUAUUCAUUGAAACUUUUUCUAAUCCUAAUCCCCUCAAAAGUGGUGCUUCAGUUUUUGAACAUGUCAGCUUCCCCAACUUCCUCUUUUAGUUAAAAAAUUGUUUUGAAAAAUCAGGAGAGAUUGAUAAGGAAACUUGGCAAAAGUCAAGGGGAAUUUCUACAAGCACUCUGCUUAAAAUUCUAGAUUUAGUACAUUUGUGAAAAUUUCUCUCAGGAUCACUUCUUUUUAAGAUUAGAAAAAAUGAACAAUA